UUGAAUUACAAACAGCUUUCAUCUAAAUGUUACCAUUUUAAAACAAAAGAAAAAAAAAAAAACAGUUGCCAACAAGUCGAUUCCAACUCACGGUGACCUCAUGUGUUUUAAGAGUAGAACUAGGCUCCAUAGAGUUUUCAUGGCUGUGACGUUUCAGAAGUAGAUUGCCAGGCCUUUCUUUCAAGAUGCCUCUGGGUAGGUUUGAACUGCUGACCUUUAGGUUAGGAGCUGAGUGUUUAACAGUUUGUACCAUUUUAGAUGUAUGGAAAUUCAUAGAAGGCAAUCUAGAAGGAUACCAAUGAAAUUGAUAAUUAUAGUUGCCUCUGGGAAAGGGGAUUAGGAACAGGUAUUGGUAGGUGAUAUAGGAAGAACUUGGUCUUAUUUGUAAUGACUGAAUAUUUUAUAAGAAGAAUGCAUUUCUGUACUCUUUCAAAAAUAUACUAUUUUCAAAAAUAUAUCUCAUUUUAAACUAAUUUAAAAAAUGUAUCAUUCCACUUGGAGAGGAAAUUGAUCAAGGAUCUAAUGCUCUUGAAUGGUUUGAAAUGAAGAGACUACCCUAGUCUACUGGGAUCAGGCUGAGCUGUCUGCCAACUGCUGUGCAUUCCAGUAAGGAGCUUUCACUAGGUCAUUUCUUCAUACAUCUACCUUUAACGUUUUAGUUUCAGUUUUGGCCCUGGGCCACUGGCUCGGACUUGUGAACAAACCAGCAGCCUUCUUAACACAGUCACUUCUCGCCCUCUUGAUAAGCCUUGAGUGAACACACACUACCAAUGACAUGCUACAUUAACCUCUUCCUUCCUCUGGAGUUUUUGAGCUAAAUUGAGGUUUUGAUAAAAGACAGAGUGGCUGGAAUGAGGAAGAGGAAGAGGUCAUGCAAGGGGGAAACCUCCGUCUCCAGUGUUAUGAUUACCAGAACUUAGAGUUGUGUAAACAGGCGGUGUUCCAUCCUUCUCAGUCUGUUUGUAUCUGCUGUUCCUCUAUCUGGAUUAUCCUCCCUGAUGUUUGCUGGCCCACCUACUCAUCCUUCAAAAAUCACCCUGAUGGGUGUAUGACAUUAAUAGCUGUGCAUUUUACCUCUUCACCUUGAGAAGAAGAAUGCAAUUACCUACUAAGAUCACUUCUCUGAGAGUUAUCAUCAGAGAGAACAGACCCUUCACUCUGAUCCAGAGAAAGGUUGAUAUUUGGGGCUGUAAGCUUGAUUCUCCGAGGAUGUGUGCCAUCGAGAUCCAGGGAAUUAGGAGGUUCUAAAGAGGAGAAAGAGUAGUAACAGAUUCACCCAAGCUGAAUGGAAUUACAGGGAAGUCACCAAGAAGUACUGUGCUCCUUUAAAAAAAUCACCUACAUGAGACUACAAGGUCAACAAGAACUUUAAACAAAGAUUGGCAACAUGCCUUUGAAAUAUGGUGUUGGCAAAGAAUACUGGAUACACCAUGGACUUCCAGAAGAACAAACAAAUCUAUCUUGGAAGAAGUACAACUGGAAUUUUCCUUGGAAGUGAGGAUGACGAGACUUCAUCUCAUGUACUUUGGACAUGUUAUCAGUCCCUGGAGAAGGACAUCAUGCUUGAAUAAAAGGAGAGAAGAGCAAGCAGAGAGAAGAGGUAUCUCACUACCACCAAGAAAGAAGAGUCCUUUGAACCCAGGGUCCCUGUGCUGAGAAUCUCCUAGACCCCGGGGAAGAUUAAUGCACAUGGAGAUCCCCAAGGAUACCUGGGCCCACAGAUGUUGGAAGGAGGCAAGGAUCUUCCCCAAAAGCUGACAGAGAGAGAAGGCCUUCUCCUAAAGCUGGCACCUGAAUUUGGACUUCUAGCUUCCUAAACUGUGAGAGAAUAAAUUUCUGUUUGUGAAAGCCAUCCACUUGUGGUAUUUCUGUUAUAACAGCACUAGAUGAGUAGGACACCAAUGUUAUUCCAGUGAAGCUCAACCUAGGACCUGGCUCAAAUUACUGAGAAAGAAACCCUUUUUGAGGGGAAUGCUGUAGAGAAAGGAGCCUAAGAGUAAACCCAAUAUAUUGUGAAACAGAGAAUGGGUAGAGAAAGAAUGAUAAAUACUGACUGCGUGGCUUGUCCUUUUUUACCCAGCCCUGUCUACAGCCAAGUUAACUCCUGAACUUUUAGUAAUAUGAGCUAACAAAAUUUCUUUUUAGCUUAAGGCAAGGUAAAUUGGGUACUUGUCACCCGUAACAAAAAUGAUCUGAUUGCUAAAACAGACUGACAAAAAUACGUAUGCCCACGGGCAAUAUUUUUCUUUCUUUUCAUUCAUUCAACAAGUAUUUAUCGGCUAUCCAUCACGUACUGGGAUCCAUUCAAAGGGCUCUGUGGAUGUUGUGGUAAUGAAAACGAAGUUUUUGCUCUCAGGGAGUUUGUUGUUGUUGUUGUUCACUACCCUCAAGUUGUCAACCCCAUGCACAAUGAGACUGGACUGUUGCAACCCAUA